AGGUGCGAUCUUACCAGCACUAAUGCACCGGAUCCCAUCAGAACUCCACAGUUAAUCGCGAUUGGGUGAGAGUAGUACUAGGAUGGGUGACCACCUGGGAAGUCCUUGUGUUACACCUC
rnacentral:rRNA from 2 species